AUUGAACGCUGGCGGCAGGCUUAACACAUGCAAGUCGAGCGGUAGCACAAGAGAGCUUGCUCUCUGGGUGACGAGCGGCGGACGGGUGAGUAACGUCUGGGAAACUGCCUGAUGGAGGGGGAUAACUACUGGAAACGGUAGCUAAUACCGCAUAACGUCGCAAGACCAAAGAGGGGGACCUUCGGGCCUCUUGCCAUCAGAUGUGCCCAGAUGGGAUUAGCUAGUAGGUGGGGUAAUGGCUCACCUAGGCGACGAUCCCUAGCUGGUCUGAGAGGAUGACCAGCCACACUGGAACUGAGACACGGUCCAGACUCCUACGGGAGGCAGCAGUGGGGAAUAUUGCACAAUGGGCGCAAGCCUGAUGCAGCCAUGCCGCGUGUGUGAAGAAGGCCUUCGGGUUGUAAAGCACUUUCAGCGAGGAGGAAGGUGGUGAACUUAAUACGUUCAUCAAUUGACGUUACUCGCAGAAGAAGCACCGGCUAACUCCGUG
rnacentral:rRNA from 1 species